rnacentral:lncRNA from 1 species
CGAGGACCUUGGAUUUAUUAAGUAACGUGGCAACGGUUAUACAGAGUCAUAAAGCGUGAGAGAUCGAAUAUGUCUAAGUCCCUAAUCAGCGCUGAUGGUUCGUCCAGAGCUUUGCCUCCGUGGAAGGUCUGCUUCAGAAGAAGAUGAAGAGUCCCUGUGUGAUACAGUCUUAUGCUGUAUCCUCCUCUUGAUGAGGUGUGUGCGUUUGAGAUGUGUGUGGUUCUGUGUUUUUGCUUGACCUUGGCUCCCAGGCCCUGGUAUGUGCAUGUGUAUCUUCUUGUGUUCCUCCUAACGGGGGAGAGCUCUCAAAAUGUCUCCUGUGUGAUAAAUUAAAACGGGGGAGUGCCCCCCCGAAGUGUCUCCUGUGUGAUAAUUUAAUGUGGCUCUCACGUUCUUGAGGAUGACUGGUGCAUUGUCUGAGUGUCUACCAUUUGCCUGCUUGGGAAAUGGGGCCUUGGCUCUGGCCUUGACCUGACUAUAUUAUCAUGUUUGUGUUAUGUGUUAAAAGUUGACUAUAUUGUAAUGUGACUGCCAUGUGAUGUGCUCAUCAGGCUAGGGUAGGAGUUAGCUAUAUUUGUAAUGUACAUGUGAUGUACUCAGCAGGAUAUUUUUCCCAACACUCACCCUCCUCCUCCCUUGGUGCAUUCUAACUUUAUCGUCGUUUUGGAUAUCCUUAGCAAUGAGUUGAUACUUCAUGUUGGGUCUUGAAAUGUUCAUAAGAGUCCGCAGAAAUCGAAUAUCAAUAUUAUUUUAGUGUGAUUACAUUGUGUAUAUGCACAAGCGAUCUUAUACAAAACAUACUACAAAGCAUACUACUAUACUCUAAUAUUAUAGUCUUCCCAGCACUGUCAGAGUACAUGAUACAGUUAUUCUGAUAAAGUCAUAAAAUUCUACAGGUUAUCAGCUUUCCAAAGAGACCAAGCAUGUCAUUAGAGGUCAUACUAUGAAGGAGCAGUGCUCUCUAGAGUAGGUGCAGUCCAAAAACAAAAAAAUUGCCAAAAAUGGCCCGAACACUAAGUGGUUAAUUGUUCCUUGUUACUCUUGAGUUGGUGGUUCUAGCUUUACUUUCAAAGCAGCAAGCCCACUAGAUAAUAUAGGCGGCGGGC